AACGAACGCUGGCGGCAUGCCUAACACAUGCAAGUCGAACGAAGGCUUCGGCCUUAGUGGCGCACGGGUGCGUAACGCGUGGGAACCUGCCCCUUGGUUCGGAAUAACAGUUAGAAAUGACUGCUAAUACCGGAUGAUGACGAAAGUCCAAAGAUUUAUCGCCGAGGGAUGGGCCCGCGUAGGAUUAGCUAGUUGGUGAGGCAAUGGCUCACCAAGGCGACGAUCCUUAGCUGGUCUGAGAGGAUGAUCAGCCACACUGGGACUGAGACACGGCCCAGACUCCUACGGGAGGCAGCAGUGGGGAAUAUUGGACAAUGGGCGAAAGCCUGAUCCAGCAAUGCCGCGUGAGUGAUGAAGGCCUUCGGGUUGUAAAGCUCUUUUACCAGGGAUGAUAAUGACAGUACCUGGAGAAUAAGCUCCGGCUAACUCCGUGCCAGCCGCCGCUGUAACAC
rnacentral:rRNA from 1 species